rnacentral:rRNA from 1 species
AUGCGCCCACACGGUGAGCUCCCGCGCCCCGCUCCCCUUUUCCUUCAUUGCCGUAGGCCGGGUCCCGCCUCCCCUAUCCAGAGCUACACCGUCGCGCCCGAGCAUGCGCUUGGCCCGGCUCUGGCCGUCCUUGGUCGCUCCCACGCGCAACUGGCCCCUCCCCGCGCUCCCAUGCAUGCUUCUGCUGCCGCCCCUGUUGAACUGUUGCUGCGCGCCCGCCUCGCCGCUGCGUUGGCCGCUGCCGACUGCCGCCCGGCCUCGCAGCCACCGUCUGCUGCGUCGUCCGCCGUGACCCCCGCCAUGCCCGCGCGCCUCCGUGUCUGCCCGCCUGCGCGUGGCCUCGCCCCCGUGCGUGCUCCCGCGCGCCCCCUGGCCGCCCUGCCCCUGCGUGCCUGA